UAGGGAAUCUUCCGCAAUGGACGCAAGUCUGACGGAGCAACGCCGCGUGAGUGAAGAAGGUUUUCGGAUCGUAAAACUCUGUUGUUAGAGAAGAACAAGUGCUAGAGUAACUGUUAGCGCCUUGACGGUAUCUAACCAGAAAGCCACGGCUAACUACGUGCCAGCAGCCGCGGUAAUACGUAGGUGGCAAGCGUUGUCCGGAUUUAUUGGGCGUAAAGCGAGCGCAGGCGGUUCCUUAAGUCUGAUGCGAAAGCCCCCGGCUCAACCGGGGAGGGUCAUUGGAAACUGGGGAACUUGAGUGCAGAAGAGGAGAGUGGAAUUCCAUGUGUAGCGGUGAAAUGCGUAGAUAUAUGGAGGAACACCAGUGGCGAAGGCGACUCUCUGGUCUGUAACUGACGCUGAGGCUCGAAAGCGUGGGUAGCAAACAGGAUUAGAUACCCUGGUAGUCCACGCCGUAAACGAUGAGUGCUAAGUGUUGGAGGGUUUCCGCCCUUCAGUGCUGUAGUUAACGCAUUAAGCACUCCGCCUGGGGAGUACGACCGCAAGGUUG
rnacentral:rRNA from 1 species